rnacentral:rRNA from 1 species
AGGUUACUGCUAUCGGUGUUCGCCUAAGCCAUGCGAGUCAUAUGUUCUUCGUGAACAUGGCGUACUGCUCAGUAACACGUGGAUAACCUGCCCUUGGGUCCGGCAUAACCCCGGGAAACUGGGAAUAAUUCCGGAUAACGCACAUAUGCUGGAAUGCUUUAUGCGUCAAAUGGAUUCGUCCGCCCAAGGAUGGGUCUGCGGCCUAUCAGGUAGUAGUGGGUGUAAUGUACCUACUAGCCUACGACGGGUACGGGUUGUGAGAGCAAGAGCCCGGAGAUGGAUUCUGAGACAUGAAUCCAGGCCCUACGGGGCGCAGCAGGCGCGAAAACUUUACAAUGCGGGAAACCGUGAUAAGGGGACACCGAGUGCCAGCAUCAUAUGCUGGCUGUCCGGGUGUGUAAAAUACACCUGUUAGCAAGGGCCGGGCAAGACCGGUGCCAGCCGCCGCGGUAAUACCGGCGGCCCGAGUGGUGAUCGUGAUUAUUGGGUCUAAAGGGUCCGUAGCCGGUUUGGUCAGUCCUCCGGGAAAUCUGACGGCUUAACCGUUAGGCUUUCGGGGGAUACUGCCAGACUUGGAACCGGGAGAGGUAAGAGGUACUACAGGGGUAGGAGUGAAAUCUUGUAAUCCCUGUGGGACCACCUGUGGCGAAGGCGUCUUACCAGAACGGGUUCGACGGUGAGGGACGAAAGCUGGGGGCACGAACCGGAUUAGAUACCCGGGUAGUCCCAGCCGUAAACGAUGCUCGCUAGGUGUCAGGCAUGGCGCGACCGUGUCUGGUGCCGCAGGGAAGCCGUGAAGCGAGCCACCUGGGAAGUACGGCCGCAAGGCUGAAACUUAA